rnacentral:rRNA from 1 species
CAUGCAGGCGGUUCGCUAAGUUGGAUGUGAAAGCUCCCGGCUUAACUGGGAGAGGUCGUUCAAGACUGACGAACUCGAGGAUGGUAAGGGAAAGCGGAAUUCCGGGUGUAGUGGUGAAAUGCGUAGAUAUCCGGAGGAACACCAGUGGCGAAGGCGGCUUUCUGGACCAUGACUGACGCUCAGAUGCGAAAGCUAGGGUAGCAAACGGGAUUAGAGACCCCGGUAGUCCUAGCCGUAAACGAUGUGAACUUGGCGGUGGAUGGGUAAAACCGAUCACUGCCGCAGCUAACGCGAUAAGUUCACCACCUGGGGACUACGGCCGCAAGGUUAAA